ensembl:rRNA 5S_rRNA 5S ribosomal RNA
GUCUAUGACCAUACCACCCUGAACAUGCCUGAUCUCAUCUGAUUUCAGAAGCUAAGCAGGUUUGGGCCUGGUUAGUACUUGGAUGGGAGAACCAUUGCCAUCUUCUCCACCAUAGUCA